UACGAAGGGGGCUAGCGUUGCUCGGAAUCACUGGGCGUAAAGGGUGCGUAGGCGGGUCUUUAAGUCCGGGGUGAAAUCCUGGAGCUCAACUCCAGAACUGCCUUUGAUACUGAAGAUCUUGAGUUCGGGAGAGGUGAGUGGAACUGCGAGUGUAGAGGUGAAAUGCGUAGAGAUCGGGAGGAACACCGGUGGCGAAGGCGGCUCACUGGCCCGUUUCUGACGCUCAGGCGCGACAGCGUGGGGAUCAAACAGG
rnacentral:rRNA from 1 species